UCAAAGCUUCCACCGGGGUAAAGGGGAUCGGUGACCUCCCCAAGUGGUCCUCCGGCAAUGCGGUAGCCCUCAACUGCGCCCAUCAGGAUCACCUGUGUGGCCCAAAUAGCCAAUAUGCUUUGUGCAUGCACCAAAUUAGGGUUUCCCAAGUAGUCCAGUCCACCCUCGCUGAAUAUCUGCGCACCAGCCUUGAACCACACUGCCUCCCCAAACUUGACCCCGUUGCGCGACAGAAGCUCCGGGAAGACGCAUCCGAGAGCUCCAAGCAUUGCCCACCUGCAGUGGAUGACCUCAAGCUCACGAUUCUUGGCGAAG
rnacentral:lncRNA from 1 species